CCUACGGGUGGCAGCAGUGGGGAAUAUUGGGCAAUGGAGGCAACUCUGACCCAGCAACGCCGCGUGAAUGAUGAAGGUCUUCGGAUUGUAAAGUUCUUUUCUAAGGGAAGAAGAAAGUGACGGUACCUUAGGAAUAAGCCUCGGCUAACUACGUGCCAGCAGCCGCGGUAAUACGUAGGAGGCAAGCGUUAUCCGGAAUGACUGGGCGUAAAGGGUGCGUAGGUGGUUUGACAAGUUGGUAGCGUAACUCCGGAGCUCAACUUCGGAACUACUACCAAAACUGUUGGACUCGAGUGCAGGAGGGGCAACUGGAAUUUCUAGUGUAGCGGUGGAAUGCAUAGAUAUCACGCAGAACUCCGAUUGCGAAGGCAGCAUACCGGCGCUCAACUGACGCUGAGGCACGAAAGCGUGGGGAUCGAACAGGAUUAGAUACCCGUGUAGUC
rnacentral:rRNA from 1 species